ACGGGGGGGGGCAAGCGUUGUUCGGAAUUACUGGGCGUAAAGGGCUCGUAGGCGGCCAACUAAGUCGGACGUGAAAGCCCUCGGCUUAACCGAGGAACUGCGUCUGAUACUGGAGGGCUUGAGUAUGGGAGAGGGAUGUAGAAUUCCAGGUGUAGCGGUGAAAUGCGUAGAUAUCUGGAGGAAUACCGGUGGCGAAGGCGGCAUCCUGGACCAUUACUGACGCUGAGGCGCGAAAGCUAGGGGAGCAAACGGGA
rnacentral:rRNA from 1 species